GCAAUGCCGCGUGCAGGAUGAAGGCCUUCGGGUUGUAAACUGCUUUUGUACGGAACGAAACGGUGAGCUCUAAUACAGUUCGCUAAUGACGGUACCGUAAGAAUAAGCACCGGCUAACUACGUGCCAGCAGCCGCGGUAAUACGUAGGGUGCGAGCGUUAAUCGGAAUUACUGGGCGUAAAGCGUGCGCAGGCGGUGAUGUAAGACAGAUGUGAAAUCCCCGGGCUCAACCUGGGACCUGCAUUUGUGACUGCAUCGCUAGAGUACGGUAGAGGGGGAUGGAAUUCCGCGUGUAGCAGUGAAAUGCGUAGAUAUGCGGAGGAACACCGAUGGCGAAGGCAAUCCCCUGGACCUGUACUGACGCUCAUGCACGAAAGCGUGGGGAGCAAACAGGAUUAAAUACCCUGGUAGUCCAGGCCCUAAACGAUGUCAACUGGUUGUUGG
rnacentral:rRNA from 1 species